GACGAACGCUGGCGGCGUGCUUAACACAUGCAAGUCGAACGGAAAGGCCCUGCUUUUGUGGGGUGCUCGAGUGGCGAACGGGUGAGUAACACGUGAGUAACCUGCCCUUGACUUUGGGAUAACUUCAGGAAACUGGGGCUAAUACCGGAUAGGAGCUCCUGCUGCAUGGUGGGGGUUGGAAAGUUUCGGCGGUUGGGGAUGGACUCGCGGCUUAUCAGCUUGUUGGUGGGGUAGUGGCUUACCAAGGCUUUGGCGGGUAGCCGGCCUGAGAGGGUGACCGGCCACAUUGGGCCUGCGAUACGGCCCAGACUCCUACGGGAGGCAGCAGUGGGGAAUAUUGCACAAUGGGCGGAAGCCUGAUGCAGCAACGCCGCGUGCGUGAUGACGGCCUUCGGGUUGUAAACCGCUUUCGCCUGUGACGAAGCGUGAGUGACGGUAAUGGGUAAAGAAGCACCGGCUAACUACGUG
rnacentral:rRNA from 1 species